UACUUUGCGCAGUGGCAAUAUUGUAGCCAAUGAGGUUAAUCCGAGGCGUGAUUAUUGCUAAUUGAAAACUUUCCCCAUAAACAAGUCUUCUUGUUGACAUGAGUUGUGGUUCUAGUCCACAGGGAACAACUAAUUGUGUUCCCCCUGAUUGUUGAAUUGGGG